rnacentral:rRNA from 1 species
GUACACUCCUGCGGGAGGCAGCAGUGGGGAAUAUUGCACAAUGGGCGCAAGCCUGAUGCAGCCAUGCCGCGUGUAUGAAGAAGGCCUUCGGGUUGUAAAGUACUUUCAGCGGGGAGGAAGGCGAUAAGGUUAAUAACCUUGUUGAUUGACGUUACCCGCAGAAGAAGCACCGGCUAACUCCGUGCCAGCAGCCGCGGUAAUACGGAGGGUGCAAGCGUUAAUCGGAAUUACUGGGCGUAAAGCGCACGCAGGCGGUCUGUCAAGUCGGAUGUGAAAUCCCCGGGCUCAACCUGGGAACUGCAUUCGAAACUGGCAGGCUAGAGUCUCGUAGAGGGGGGUAGAAUUCCAGGUGUAGCGGUGAAAUGCGUAGAGAUCUGGAGGAAUACCGGUGGCGAAGGCGGCCCCCUGGACAAAGACUGACGCUCAGGUGCGAAAGCGUGGGGAGCAAACAGGAUUAGAUACCCCAGUAGUCCC